UACGUAGGGUGCAAGCGUUGUUCGGAAUCAUUGGGCGUAAAGCGCGUGUAGGUUGCUAUGUAAGUCGAAUGUGAAAUCCCUGGGCUCAACCGAGGAAGUGCAUUCGAAACUACAUAGCUCGAGAACGGUAGAGGAAGGUGGAAUUCCAAGUGUAGAGGUGAAAUUCGUAGAUAUUUGGAGGAAUACCGGUGGCGAAGGCGGCCUUCUGGGCCGGUUCUGACACUGAGACGCGAAAGCGUGGGUAGCAAACAGG
rnacentral:rRNA from 1 species